ACCCCGGGGAAUGCCUUAGUACGGCGAGUGAGCGGCAAAAGCUCAAAUUUGAAAUCUGGUACCUUCGGUGCCCGAGUUGUAAUUUGGAGAGGGCAACUUUGGGGCCGUUCCUUGUCUAUGUUCCUUGGAACAGGACGUCAUAGAGGGUGAGAAUCCCGUGUGGCGAGGAGUGCGGUUCUUUGUAAAGUGCCUUCGAAGAGUCGAGUUGUUUGGGAAUGCAGCUCUAAGUGGGUGGUAAAUUCCAUCUAAAGCUAAAUAUUGGCGAGAGACCGAUAGCGAACAAGUACAGUGAUGGAAAGAUGAAAAGAACUUUGAAAAGAGAGUGAAAAAGUACGUGAAAUUGUUGAAAGGGAAGGGCAUUUGAUCAGACAUGGUGUUUUGUGCCCUCUGCUCCUUGUGGGUAGGGGAAUCUCGCAUUUCACUGGGCCAGCAUCAGUUUUGGUGGCAGGAUAAAUCCAUAGGAAUGUAGCUUGCCUCGGUAAGUAUUAUAGCCUGUGGGAAUACUGCCAGCUGGGACUGAGGACUGCGACGUAAGUCAAGGAUGCUGGCAUAAUGGUUAUAUGCCGCCCGUCUUGAAACCACGGGACCA
rnacentral:rRNA from 1 species